rnacentral:rRNA from 1 species
GAUGAACGCUGGCGGCGUGCCUAAUACAUGCAAGUCGAGCGAACAGACGAGGAGCUUGCUCCUCUGACGUUAGCGGCGGACGGGUGAGUAACACGUGGAUAACCCACCUAUAAGACUGGGAUAACUUCGGGAAACCGGAGCUAAUACCGGAUAAUAUAUUGAACCGCAUGGUUCAAUAGUGAAAGACGGUUUUGCUGUCACUUAUAGAUGGAUCCGCGCCGCAUUAGCUAGUUGGUAAGGUAACGGCUUACCAAGGCAACGAUGCGUAGCCGACCUGAGAGGGUGAUCGGCCACACUGGAACUGAGACACGGUCAGACUCCUACGGGAGGCAGCAGUAGGGAAUCUUCCGCAAUGGGCGAAAGCCUGACGGAGCAACGCCGCGUGAGUGAUGAAGGUCUUCGGAUCGUAAAACUCUGUUAUUAGGGAAGAACAAAUGUGUAAGUAACUAUGCACGUCUUGACGGUACCUAAUCAGAAAGCCACGGCUAACUACGUG